GGAUGAACGCUAGCGACAGGCCUAACACAUGCAAGUCGAGGGGCAGCACAUGAGUAGCAAUACGAUGGUGGCGACCGGCGCACGGGUGAGUAACACGUAUGCAACCUGCCUGUAAGAGGGGAAUAACCCGGAGAAAUUCGGACUAAUACCGCAUAAUACCACGAGACUGCAUGGUUUUGUGGUUAAACAUUUAUGGCUUACAGAUGGGCAUGCGUAUGAUUAGAUAGUUGGUAAGGUAACGGCCUACCAAGUCUACGAUCAUUAGGGGUUCUGAGAGGAAGGUCCCCCACACUGGUACUGAGACACGGACCAGACUCCUACGGGAGGCAGCAGUGAGGAAUAUUGGUCAAUGGGCGAGAGCCUGAACCAGCCAAGUCGCGUGAAGGAAGAAGGUUCUAUGGAUUGUAAACUUCUUUUGCAGGGGAAUAAAGGACGGUACGUGUACUGUUUUGUAUGUACCUUGCGAAUAAGGAUCGGCUAACUCCGUGCCAGCAGCCGCGGUAAUACGGAGGAUCCGAGCGUUAUCCGGAUUUAUUGGGUUUAAAGGGUGCGUAGGCGGCCGAGUAAGUCAGCGGUGAAAUUUUGCAGCUUAACUGUAACAGUGCCGUUGAUACUGCAUGGCUAGGAUUUGGUUGCUGUGGGUGGAAUGUGUGGUGUAGCGGUGAAAUGCUUAGAUAUCACACAGAAUAUCAAUUGCGAAGGCAGCUCACAAAGCCAAGAUUGACGCUGAGGCACGAAAGUGUGGGGAUCAAACAGGAUUAGAUACCCUGGUAGUCCACACUGUAAACGAUGAUAACUCACUGCCGGCGAUACACAGUCGGUGGCCAAGCGAAAGCGAUAAGUUAUCCACCUGGGGAGUACGACCGCAAGGUUGAAACUCAAAGGAAUUGACGGGGGCCCGCACAAGCGGAGGAACAUGUGGUUUAAUUCGAUGAUACGCGAGGAACCUUACCCGGGCUCGAACGGUGCAUGAAUAAGCAAGAGAUUGUUUAGUCCUUCGGGACAUGUAUCGAGGUGCUGCAUGGUUGUCGUCAGCUCGUGCCGUGAGGUGUCGGCUUAAGUGCCAUAACGAGCGCAACCCUUGUUGUUAGUUACCAACAGGUAAAGCUGGGGACUCUAACGAGACUGCCACCGUAAGGUGUGAGGAAGGGGGGGAUGACGUCAAAUCAGCACGGCCCUUAUGUCCGGGGCGACACACGUGUUACAAUGGGGGGUACAGAGGGCAGCCAUCCGGUGACGGAGCGCCAAUCUCCAAAACCCUUCUCAGUUCGGAUUGGAGUCUGCAACCCGACUCCAUGAAGUUGGAUUCGCUAGUAAUCGCGCAUCAGCCAUGGCGCGGUGAAUACGUUCCCGGGCCU
rnacentral:rRNA from 1 species